UCUAUCAAAUCCAGCCAUGUCAAGUGCAGGGAGAGAAGCGAGCUGAGGGUUAAACUAAUCUCAGGAGGGAGAGAGAGGCCGUUAUUUGUGUUCGCAGUGUUUUUGUCAGAUAUCGGGGGUUUCGUAGGAGAGACAUGCUUAAUUUGUGAGCGUUUUCAGGCGCUGAUCUCCCCCCGCGCCGAGGAUAUCCUGCGCUAUGUGUGUUCUGUGUGUGUGAGCCGAGCCGCCGCCGCCGAUCUCCUACAGUAGGGAUAACGGAUCAUCAUCUCAGCGCUGAACCUGCUGCUGCUGCUGCUCCCCGCGGUGGAUGUGACCCAGUAUAGUCCGCGGCUGCGCCGAGAGACGCAUGUGGAGCAGCACCAAUGAUGUCAGGAAAGCAUUACAAGGGCCAUGAAGUCAGCUGCUGCAUCAAAUACUUCAUAUUCGGAUUUAACAUAAUCUUCUGGUUGUUGGGGGUGGCCUUCCUGGGUAUCGGACUGUGGGCAUGGAGUGAGAAGGGUGUGCUCUCAAACAUUUCGUCCAUCACUGACCUUGGUGGGUUCGACCCUGUCUGGCUCUUUCUGGUGGUGGGAGGAGUAAUGUUUAUACUGGGUUUUGCCGGCUGCAUCGGAGCUCUGAGAGAAAACACCUUCCUGCUCAAAUUUUUCUCUGUGUUUCUGGGGAUUAUAUUCUUCCUGGAGCUGACAGCAGGAGUUCUUGCCUUCGUUUUUAAAGACUGGAUCAAAGACCAGCUCAACUUCUUCAUCAACAACAACAUCAGAGCCUACAGAGACGACAUCGACCUCCAGAACCUUAUUGACUUCACUCAGGAAUAUUGGGAGUGCUGUGGAGCGUUUGGAGCCGAUGACUGGAACCUCAACAUCUACUUUAACUGUACAGACAGCAACCCCAGCAGAGAGAAGUGCGGGGUGCCCUUCUCCUGCUGCACCAAGGACCCAGCGGAGGACGUAAUCAACACGCAGUGCGGAUAUGAUGUCCGGGCUAAAUCGAGUGAUGAGCAGAGGACGUACAUACAUGUGAAAGGCUGCGUCCCUCAGUUUGAAAAGUGGUUACAGGACAACCUGACUGUAGUGGCAGGCAUCUUUAUAGGAAUUGCACUUUUACAGAUAUUUGGAAUAUGCCUGGCCCAAAACCUCGUGAGUGAUAUUGAAGCAGUACAGGCGAGCUGGCUGCCACCCCCUUCUUACGCUGUCCGCCGCCCCCCAUCCCACUCCAGCAAGAAAGUGCACUCAUGAGCGAGGUGUGUGCUCACCUGCUUGUUCACCUGAUGUGGCAGCUUCCCAUCGUCCUCUCAAAUAUUUACAGACAGAACUACGCCCGAACUGGAGCGCCAGCAACGCAGCAAGACUCCACAUGCCAAGUUCACUGGAUGGAGUUGUGUGUACAAAUGUGAUCUGUACCAUUAUCUUUUACUAUGUGUAUAUAUGGAUUUUUCUAAAGUGUUUCACAUGUCAAAUACUUGUGUAAGAAAUGUAAAAAAGGGGUGUGGCUAUAUAUGUGUGUCUGUAUAUGUGUGCGUGUGUGUAUGUCAGAUCCAUUGCAAGUGUAUAUGAGUGUGUGUUUACGCACUGCAUGCCUCUCACACUCGCAGUGAGCAUCCCAUAAUACAUUAUUUCUACAGCUUUUCCCACCCUGAUCUCAAUUUGCUGCAUCUGUACUACACUACGCUGCUUUACACAGACAAUAACAAUCAACAGGUCUGCCUGUAGUACAAGUAUAGAAGGAAAGUUCCAAUGACUGUAGAAGACAUUCUAUUUCCUUUUCUUUAACUGAAAUAAAGCCAAAAUGAUUCACCAUGCUGUCAAAUUUGCAGCCAGAUUUGCUAAGCUAAGUAAACAAAACUGUAAUUUAAAAAAAGGAGUGCUAGAUGUUAAUCUACACAGAUUUCUUUCCUAAAAAAAAGACAUUUAUUUAGAGUAAACCUAGAUUUCCAGAUUGCCACGAAGGCAAGGUGUAGCAGCAUUAGCGGCUAAAAAAUACAUUUAUUUAGAGUAAGCCUAGAUUUCCAGAUUGCCACGAAGGCUAGGUGUAGCAGCAUUAGCCACGGUUAGUGCUAGUAAACAGUGCUACACUGAGGAACCCUGAGUGUUCCGGUAAGCCAGGGUGAUAUUAGCUAGCGGUUCAUCCUACAUAGAUUGUUUUAACACUGUAAACAUGCAGGCUACAGUCCGAUAUAUUUGCCUCUGAACAGUGAAAGAGGCACAUUAACCAGGCACUUAGCCUGGUUAAUGUGCAAAUAUGUAUGUCAGAUCCAUUGUAAGUGUAUAUGAGUGUGUGUUUCUGCACUGCAUGCCUCUCAAACUCGCAGUACUGCUGCUACACCUAGCACUUAGCCUGGUUAAUGGGUAAUGCUAAUUCUGCUCCAGCCUCUGUGCUAGCCAGGGUUAGCAGCAGGCUACAGGCCGAUAAUACUCACCUUUAAAUACUUACUCACCGGCGAAAGAAAUAGUGCUUAGCAGCUAAUGCUAAUACUGCUCCAGUCUCUGUGCUGGAGAACUAAUCUGAAACUCCUUUAUACAUAAAGCGCACCGGAUUAGAAGGCGCACUGUAAAUUUUUGGAAAAAAAUUUUAUUGCAUCUUGUAGUGUGAAAAGUACAGUAUUAUCACAGGAUGACUCUAGACGUGAUAAAAUAUGUCAAUGGGCAGUUGUUCAAUUAAAUGUAAUAAUCUUUGAGUAUACAGGACAAUAUAGUAAAAAUCUUGUCCAGCUUUGAUAAAUUGGACAUUCCAGCUAAAGAAAACCGUUGUUAAGAGGCUUACAUUUUUUUUUUUUUUUACAUGUAAAACAAGGUUCUUAACAAAAAUAAAAAUGAUUAUAACAGUUAUAAUUUUAACUAGAAGUCUUAUUCAGUACUAAGUAUAUAUUUUUUGUUUAGAGUUUUGGAAAAUCCUGUAAAAACUUUUUUUUUUUCUCUAUAUUUCAGCAAUGAGUCCAUGAUGUAAUUGGCUCAUAUAUGUUCUAGGUGUGCCAAUAUUACACAAUUAUGAAUCACAGCUUAACAGCUCUUCACGUUUUUUCAAUGCACAUCAUAAAACUCCUAUCAUAAAACGUCAGGCAAGCCUGUCCAUUGUUAUUCAGCUGUGUGCUACAGAUACAGUACUUAGAGACGAGACUAAGAAAAGCUGGCAUAUAUAUUUCUGUUUUGUUUUUUUAUUAUUAAACCUAUUUGGAUGUGUGGAAGUGUGUGGAUGGCCUUGUAUAUGGAAGCAUAACAUUAUGGAGACAUACAUUAUGAAAGGAAACAUGUAAUACAAGAACUUUAAGGGCAGUGUUGGUAAGUAAAUAUUCAUACUCUUGAUUUCAGCUUUUCUUUUCUUUGUUUACUGUUCAAACUCAAUGCAAAUAAUGCAGUGUCAGCUUGUUUCUAUAUAUUUUAAUCCAUUUACAUGCUGUUAACAUGAUGUUAACUAUCGGGGUGCAUUGUGAUGUCUCAGAGGGGUGUAAAUAGUCUGCGUAAAGCAACAGUCUACAAUCUUUUCUGAACAAACACUUUCUUCUACAGAAGUAAAACGAACAGUGACAGUAUUUUUAGUUGGGUUAUAAAGUAAUCAGAAGGAUGUUAGUUCUGAAGUCAGGCGUAGAGAUAUAUAGAUGGCUGUAUAUAUAUUUAGCACAUUCAGGAUGCUGAUCUGAGGUCAGCUGUUUUUAUUCUUCGAGAGCUGUGUAUCAGAUUAACAUGAACUCAUGUUAUAGAAUGCUUUCAACCAGGGUCACAGUAUGCUUUGACAUGUCUAAAACACUUCAGCCUUUGUAGAAGCCACAUAUUUUUAAAAUGAAUUAUUACAGUAGUUUUCUGUGCAUCAUCACUCCUUUGACAAUUUAUUUAAAGCAUUAAACUGAAUAAGUUCAUAAAACAAGAGUGUAAAUCUGUAUUAACGAGAAGGAUGUACAAAUUUGUAUGGAAAAUGUUUUAUUAAAAUAAUGAAGUGUGUUAAAGGAGGGGAGCAGAUGCAGAUAUGGUGAUAAGACUGUUGUUGUUCAUUUGGUCGAAUAAACCAAUGUGCUGACCUGCUGACUUCGUGAAGAACUGUAUUAAUAUUAAAGCUGGAGAAGGGAUCA